UGUGGUCCCUUGUCGUUGAAUCCUGAUGUAGAAUUGCUGCAAUUGACCCAACCCGGGUAGUUCAGAUGUCAGGGGUGUAUUAUCCCAAGGUCUCAGAUUCUCAAUGCUGAUCGAAGAUUGUAGUUGGGUCAUGGCAUUGGGUUGUUGUGCAAGUUCGCCCGAAUACGCUGGUCAUACCAAAGGAAAACGGUUGCAAUCGACAAAGCGUUUCUAUUGGUGUAUCGCCGCUGCAGUACUGAAAAAGGGGAUUAUUUCAGGAGGAGGAGGAGCUUCGGCAAUGGAAUUCAAUCAAAUCAAAUCGAAUGCAGAUGUUUAGGAAUUAUAUAAAAGAAUAAAUUGAAUUUUGAAUAAAGAAAACAGGGGAAGAUGUUGAAGAUGAUAAGAAACAAAGGAGAGAUGACAGAAUCGAAACAGUAAUGGUGUAAAACCAGGCCAGGUCUGAUUAGCUCUUCUUCCCAGAAAGAAAGCUAAUGACAGACAGCUCUUUUGUUUUCUAUGUUUUGAAUAUUAUUAUUAUAAUUAUGAUAGAAAGCCGACGCAUCAACUAACCAUUUAUUCUUUAGAAUACAUUAUUCCAAAUGCUACUGUCCAUUUUUGCUGUUUGGAGUUUAUCUAACAAAGUCCUUUUGCCUUCAUCGCUUUGCCCCAUGGAUUAGAUCUCUAUCUUCGACUUCUUCUUCUCGUUUUCAUCUUCCUUAGACGCCGAUUCUUUCAUUCUAGAUAUUUAUUCUUCUCUUUUCUCUCUGUAUAUAUGUCUGUACUACAUGCUUCAAUGAAUAGCCAUUGAUAAAGAUUGAAGACCAACUUAUAAUGGGUAGGCAUGAUCAUGGAGAUGUUGAUGACCAUGAUUCUAUCAUGGUUGUUGGUUCCUCCAUAGCUCUUCUUCAAGAAAGGUUCAGGCAGUUGGAGAGAGUGAGGGAGAAGAAGAAGAGGGAGGCGAGAGAGAGGAUUGGUGAUUCAACUUGUAAUUCUAACUCGAGAAAAUCUUCUUCUUCCUCUUCUUCAACUUUGUCUCUUGGGAUGAUGAUGAACAACACUUCACCGAGACAAAGAAAGGUGACUAUGUCAUAUGAGCACGAAUUGAAUCGCGAAGAAGAUGUGAAAAGGAGGCAACGGUUAACUGCCCGGUGGCUUGAUUAUGAUUCCGCCAUGGUUAACGUCUCUACUCCAAGUUCUGAUCAAAUCUCUGAAGUUGAUACCUCACUCCAUCUUUAGACAUAACUUUUCUUCAUAAGCUUCUUGUUCCCUUUUUUUUUUCGAUUUUCUUGAUUUAUCUUUUUCUCUAUUUUCUGUAUAGUUUCUUCUCAAUAAAAGAGGCUGAGGGUA